rnacentral:rRNA from 1 species
UACGUAGGGUGCAAGCGUUACUCGGAAUUACUGGGCGUAAAGCGUGCGCAGGCGGUUGUGCAAGACAGAUGUGAAAUCCCCGGGCUUAACCUGGGAACUGCAUUUGUGACUGCACAGCUGGAGUGCGGCAGAGGGGGAUGGAAUUCCGCGUGUAGCAGUGAAAUGCGUAGAUAUGCGGAGGAACACCGAUGGCGAAGGCAAUCCCCUGGGCCUGCACUGACGCUCAUGCACGAAAGCGUGGGGAGCAAACAGG